AAAGACUGUAAAGUCAUGCACGAAUCCCGAGUAAUAAAAUGUUAGGGAAGAAAAACAAAGAGUCUGUCCUUUAGAGAGAGAAGCAUAAGGGAAAAAACUCAGUCAAUAUUCUUGCCAUUUCACAUGUGAAGAAUGUCAAAGAUAUCCCAAACCAAGAAACCAAUAGCUUUGUGUUUCAUCUUUCUUUGAAAUUGCGAAAUGAAGAAGACAGAUCAGAAGAAUGGAAAUGAAGGCAUCAAGCAGUACAAAAGUGUCUCAGAAUGAAAACCUGUUUUUGUACUGUGGCUCUAGUGGCUGCAAAAAGGU